UGGAGUAGAGGCACUUAUUGAGCACAUUCAGACUUGCCAAUAAAAGCUGAUCAGCUAAUGCCUCAGCCGAAAAGAGAAGAGGGCUGGACUUCUACAAGCCAGGGAAGGAGUAGAAAGGAAAUAUCAUGCCAAAACACAUGGAGCAGAGAGAGCCAGAUGAUUAGUAAAAUCUUUACUAUCCAACAUUUUCUCUUGAGCUUUGCAAACUUUAUCUCCAAGGCAGACUCUAUUGUGUCCCACCUGACUGGCAAGAAAGACGCAACAAACCGGAAUCUUCCGCGGCAAAAGCUUUAUUGCUUACUUCUUCAGGAAGACCCCGAACCGGAAAAUGGCGCCGCUUUUAUAACCCACAGUGUGACGUUUUAGCACCUGAUAUGGCGUGACAGCUCCUGAUUCGUUGCUCGCACAUCACCCCAUUAUUACACCCCGAGAAUGGGAGUGACUAGGAGUGAGUUCACUCUCGCACCUGCAUACAAGGCUUGUUUACUAGUUAGGCACAGCGGAGGCCAGCACCAUCUUAUAAUGGCGACUGUUCGCGGCACGGCUCUCCACAAGACUCUGCCAUCUCCAUGUGUUUUCCUAUCACCUCUAUUCCUUCUUCUAAUUUUAUUUUCCUUCUUCUAAUUUUUCUUUUCUUCAAAAUCUCAUUGUGGUUAUCAAUACCUUGCUUUCUUGUGCAUGAUUUGCGAUACGGUCUGAGUUAUUUUGAAUGAAGAACUAAAUGUGAGCUGACAGCAUGGUAAAGAAUUUUAUUUCAUGAACACAUGUGACAUA
rnacentral:lncRNA from 1 species